rnacentral:ncRNA from 1 species
AUAAUGUAGGUAAGGGAAGUCGGCAAAUUGGAUCCGUAACUUCGGAAUAAGGAUUGGCUCUGAGGACCGGAGUGUGUCGGGUUUGGGAGGGAAGCGGAUGCGGCCGGUGCCGGGCCUGGUCGAUGCCUCCUCUCGGGGGGGGGCUGAAUCCGGACUCGUGCUCCGGCCUUCCGCGGAUCUCCCUAGCCAUGGGGCCGUAUCGGUUUCGGCCGAUGCGUGCCUUUACGACCGCCGUUCAACGGUCAACUCAGAACUGGCACGGACAAGGGGAAUCCGACUGUCUAAUUAAAACAAUGCAUUGCGAUUUAAGGUUUAAGGUUUCCUGUAAACUAUAACUGAGGCCCUAAAUUCAGUAUUUUUAA